GAUGAACGCCGGCGGCGUGCCUAAUACAUGCAAGUCGAGCGAACGGACGAGAAGCUUGCUUCUCUGAUGUUAGCGGCGGACGGGUGAGUAACACGUGGAUAACCUACCUAUAAGACUGGGAUAACUUCGGAAACCGGAGCUAAUACCGGAUGAUAUUUUGAACCGCAUGGUUCAAAAGUGAAAGACGGUCUUGCUGUCACUUAUAGAUGGAUCCGCGCUGCAUUAGCUAGUUGGUAAGGUAACGGCUUACCAAGGCAACGAUGCAUAGCCGACCUGAGAGGGUGAUCGGCCACACUGGAACUGAGACACGGUCCAGACUCCUACGGGAGGCAGCAGUAGGGAAUCUUCCGCAAUGGGCGAAAGCCUGACGGAGCAACGCCGCGUGAGUGAUGAAGGUCUUCGGAUCGGAAAACUCUGUUAUUAGGGAAGAACAUAUGUGUAAGUAACUGUGCACAUCUUGACGGUACCUAAUCAGAAAGCCACGGCUAACUACGUG
rnacentral:rRNA from 1 species